rnacentral:tRNA from 1 species
GGUAAGAUGGCUUUGUGGGUCAAGGCACUGGCCUGGGACUCUGGAGACGUUGGUUCAAAUCCCAGUUCUAUCA